AGUGAACGCUGGCGGUAGGCCUAACACAUGCAAGUCGAACGGCAGCACAGUAAGAGCUUGCUCUUACGGGUGGCGCGUGGCGGACGGGUGAGGAAUACAUCGGAAUCUACUUUUUCGUGGGGGAUAACGUAGGGAAACUUACGCUAAUACCGCAUACGACCUACGGGUGAAAGCAGGGGAUCUUCGGACCUUGUGCGAUUGAAUGAGCCGAUGUCGGUUUAGCUAGUUGGCGGGGUAAAGGCCCACCAAGGCGACGAUCCGUAGCUGGUCUGAGAGGAUGAUCAGCCACACUGGAACUGAGACACGGUCCAGACUCCUACGGGAGGCAGCAGUGGGGAAUAUUGGACAAUGGGCGCAAGCCUGAUCCAGCCAUACCGCGUGGGUGAAGAAGGCCUUCGGGUUGUAAAGCCCUUUUGUUGGGAAAGAAAAGCAGCAGGUUAAUACCCCGCUGUUCUGACGGUACCCAAAGAAUAAGCACCGGCUAACUUCGUG
rnacentral:rRNA from 1 species